rnacentral:lncRNA from 10 species
UGGGCACAUCGCAGAGCCAUGUCUUUGGUUUUCAAAGAGAGGCAGAAAUCCUGCAUUUUUACAUACGAAUUUCCUGAUUUUUAAGUGCAAGCUAUAAGUCCAUCAAAACAGUUCUGGUUUUCAAGCCAACCUUGUAAGACCACAGGGCUAUGGCCUGUGCUCUUCUCUAAGUCCUCUUGGUAAAUCACAGAAGUGGCUCAGCCCGUUUGUAAAAGCCACUGAAGAUCUUCCCAUCUACUUCAGAGACUGACAACAUGAUACAAGCCCUCAAGUGAGUUACAGCGAAGGUGACCAACCCAUCUUCAACUGCCUGGAACUUUCCUGAUUUCAAAAUGGUGAAAAUUAAAUGCCAAUCAAAUGGCAUUGAGAUUAGACGCAGAGAAAAGGAAAACAAGGACACUUCAUUUUGGUAGUGAACAUAACAAGAGAAGAGAUCAACUAAAUUUUGAAGCGGUGACCCUUGAAUGUUUCUAGAAGAUGUCUUCCUCUAAAGUCAUUUGAAAUGCUUCACAGAAGAUAGCAAGAGCAGAAACAGUGUCUUCGGUGUUUCCACCCCGGGUACCAGCGUAUCUCCUUGCACAUGUGAAUGAAAAAAUGAAUCUGCUCCUGUAAAAGCAUCUGCACGUGAAAAAAGCCCUGUGAGAACAAUCUGCUUUGGGUAAGGAAUAUUUUUGAUGUGCUUUGGACUCAUUUUCCUCUUUGUUCAUCCAGUUUUACUCUCUUUCAGACGUGGAACAGUAUGGGUUGAAUGUUCAUGCUACAGUCAUUUGGGGAGGGGUUGUGCUCUCAAUUUAAUGUCUGUGGAAAUGCAUUCUGAACAGUUCACCAAAUCUAUACGUUCCUCAAAGGAUCUUCUCUUACCUGUAUCCCUCCAGCUUCUCCCUUUCUUGGCGGCUUUAGUUAACACACCAUGUAAGGCAAUUGUACAUAGCACAACUAUUUGUUGAGGGUAUUUCUAGGAAUAGAAAAUGCUGCUCAGAAACCUCAAAAUCCCUGCACCCACCACCCCCCCGACAACCAUUUUACUAAAAGAAAUUAAGCUUGUUACAUCUCACCAGUAUAUUAAAUUAAUGCUUUCUACCAUGAAGCUCAAGUCCUCAGCUCACAAUUAUAGGUUGUUUGCAAUUGAACUUGGGUAAUUCUACUGCAAUCUGCAGAUUCAAGGCACUGGGCAGAAGUCAGGCUACCUGAGCAGGCUAGAUGGGAUUAAAUACACUGCUUUAGCAAGUGAUGUGUUGCAAUAUUAUUAAUUUAAACCCUAACGUCUCAUUGUUGUGAUUCGAGCUGCAUGAUGUAAUGCAAUAUGACAGCCAUUGAAUUAAUAGAAAAUGGAAUUCAUCUCUCAAAAUUUCACACAAAGUAAAGGCACAGAGACAGACAAAAAUAAAGGGAGAAAGACAGACAGAUAAAUACCUUUAAUAGGUUCUCUGUAUUCAAUUGAGUCUGUCUCUAUCUGGUAGCAUUUGAAGUAUUUCAUAGCAUCAGCCCUUUUGCAGACAGACCCUUGCCAUCUUAUUUAUUCCUCUGUAAUGCAAAGAAGCGAAAAUGUUCCUAUUUUGUUUCUUUUAUUUUAGCCAGUGAAUUGCAUAGAGGUAAUAUGCUGUAAGUGGAGGUUCAGGCAUUACCAUUUAUGCAUGACACAGUAAUAGGAAAUUUUCUGCCCCUCUUAGCUUGAUAAGAACCUUCUGCAAAGACCCUACAACUCCUUCAGGUAGUAGCCACCUACUUGAUUUAUAAUCUUGCAGUGGCGGAAGAGGUUAGCUGGGUAAUUUAAAUCACUAGAUUUCACUAAUGAACUAAGGCCAGGGAGAAAGCACUUUACGUUGUAAAGGCUCCAUUUCACCUUCCUUAUGCCCCACAUACUUUAUCUCCAAAUUUUUACAUUAUUUAUAUAAAAAGGGAAAUGGCUCUCUCAUGGGAAAAUGAGUGAGCAAAGCAUCUCCGCUGAUAGGGUAUCUUCUACAAUUCACUGCAAAUCAGCUACCCUCUCCCAGGGCAAUAAAAAUAGAGUCACCAGAUUUAGUGACUAAAAAUAAAGGAUGCCCAGUUAAAUUUGAAUAUCAGAAAAACAGUAAAUAAUGCAAUACUGGAGAUAUUUAUAUUAAAAGUUAUUUGUUGCUUAUGUAAAAUUCAAAUUUAACUGGGCUUCUUGCUUUUUAUCUGGAGCCCUAAACUAAAAGGGUGGAAAGGAGCCCUACUUAACCCAGUGAGGACAUUACAUGACAUCUCAGCAGCAAGUGCUCUGCAAAGCUUGGGAAAAUUAACUGUCCAAAGAAGCCUUCUGGCAUCUCUGCCUCUCAGUGGAGCAUUUUUAUUCAGCAGAUUACUAAAGGAUUCACUAAGCUUUGCAAUAAACUACUGUUCACUUUUUUCCCCACAUGGAUAAGCAAGUUUUUGUUGUUGUUGUUGUUGUUUGGUUGGUUGGGUUUUUUUGAGAUGGAGUCUCACUCUGUUGCCCAGGCUGGAGUGCAGCGGUGCUAUCUCAGAUCACUGCAACAUCUGCCUCCCAGGUUCAAGCAAUUCUCCUGCCUCAGCCUCCUGAGCAGCUGGGACUACAGGUUGCACCACCAUGCCCAGCUAAUUUUUGUAUUUUUUAGUAGAGACAGGGUUUCACCAUAUUGGUCUGGCUGGUCUCGAAUGCCUGACCUCAUGAUCCACCCGCCUGGGGCUCCCAAAGUGCUGGGAUUACAGGCUUGAGCCAUCUCACCUGGCUGAGACUUUUAUACUGUUAUAUUUUGUAUAAAGAAAAUAUACAGUGGCUUUCAAACCUGAGAAAUCCUAGAGCCUUCCACCAUUACCACCCAAACAUCAAAUAUCUCUACCUACCUCCGUAGACUGCAGUUUCAAAAACAUCAAGCUAAUAUGUACCCAAAAGAACUGAAACAGAUAUGCAAACAAAUCCAUGCAGGUGCAUGUCUAUAGAAGCACCAUUCACAAUAACCUAAAGGUUUGUAGAAGCAACCCAAAGGGCCAUCCACUGAUGAAUGGAUAAAUGAAUUGUGGUCUGGUCUAUACCUACAGUGAAAUACUAUUCAGCCAUAAAAAGAAUGAAGUACUGAUCUAUGCUGCAAUGUGGAUGAGCCUAGAAAACUAUGCUAAGUGGAAAAAGCCAGACAUGAAAGGUCACAUAUUCUAUGAUUCGUUUUAUAUGAAACAUACAGAAUAGGUAAAUCCAUAGAAACAUACAGCAGCUUAGGGGAUUUCAGGAGCCUGGAAAGGUAGGGGGUGAGGAGUGGAUGGGAGAGUGACUGCUAAUGGAUACAGGUGGUGUCCUUUUGUGGAGAUGAAAAUGUUUUGGAACUAAAUAGAGGUGGUGGCUGCACGGCAUUGUGCUAAAUUUGCUAAAUGCCACUGAAUUGCUCACUUCAAAAUGGUGAAUUUUAUGUCACAUGAAUGUCAUCUCAAUAAAAAGAAUAAAUAAAUAAAUAAGUCAUCUAUCUUAAGGAGAAUUGAGAUUUGCUAGUCUGCUUUUGGACUCAUUUUGAAUUCUUUACCAGCUGCUAAAAGACCUUCUCAUUUUCCAUAAAGCUUAUCAACUAAAAUCAUUUCCAUGUAAGGUAUUAACUAAUACGAAUUGAGCACAUAUUAAAGAGUCACAGGUAGCUUUGCAGACCCUUCAUGCAAAUUAUUAAUAGAAAAUGGUGCCCCCCUUGAGGCCACUUGAUGAGCUGAGGCAUUGAGGGCCAUGUAUAGUUUUUUGUUGUAUAUUCUUCUUUGCCUUUUUAAAGAAUAACCUUCUAAAAAUGUAAAAAAAACACUCUUCACUCAUAGGCCACACAGAAAACAUUCCACAGGGUCGAAUUGGCUCACAGAUAGCAAUUUGCCAGCCUCUGCUCUGUAUCUUGAUUAGGUGCUGGUUGCAUGGAUAUAUAUAUAUUUGUCAAAACUCACUGAUCAAUACACUUAAGACCUAUGCUUUUUACUAUAUGUAGUCUCAAUAAAAUAUAGAACAGUUCUUGACAGUUGAGUUAAUGCUCAAAUGAAUGUUAAUGUUAUUUU